rnacentral:rRNA from 1 species
UACGGGGGGGGGGCAAGCGUUGUUCGGAAUUACUGGGCGUAAAGCGCGCGUAGGCGGCUUUGCAAGUCGGGUGUGAAAUCCCCAGGCUUAACCUGGGAACUGCAUUCGAGACUGCAUUGCUAGAGUAUGGGAGAGGGAAGUGGAAUUUCCGGUGUAGCGGUGAAAUGCGUAGAUAUCGGAAGGAACAUCAGUGGCGAAAGCGACUUCCUGGACCAAUACUGACGCUCAUGUGCGAAAGCGUGGGGAGCAAACAGG